UACGUAGGGUGCGAGCGUUAAUCGGAAUUACUGGGCGUAAAGUGUGCGCAGGCGGCCGCGCAAGUCGAGUGUGAAAGCCCCGGGCUUAACUUGGGAAUUGCGCUCGAAACUACGUGGCUGGAGUGUGGCAGAGGAAGGUGGAAUUCCAGGUGUAGCGGUGAAAUGCGUAGAGAUCUGGAGGAUCACCGAUGGCGAAGGCAGCCUUCUGGGCCAACACUGACGCUCAUGCACGAAAGCGUGGGGAGCAAACAGG
rnacentral:rRNA from 1 species